rnacentral:rRNA from 1 species
CCUACGGGGGGCUGCAGUCGAGAAUCUUUCGCAAUGGGCGCAAGCCUGACGAAGCGACGCCGUGUGAGCGAAGAAGGCCUUCGGGUUGUAAAGCUCUUUCGCUAGGGAACAAGAGAGGUUGGAUAACACCCAGCCAAUUUGAUGGUACUUGGUAAAGAAGCACCGGCUAACUCCGUGCCAGCAGCUGCGGUAAUACGGAGGGUGCAAGCAUUGAUCGGAAUUACUGGGCGUAAAGGGCGCGUAGGCGGCAUGAUAAGUCGGAUGUGAAAUUCCGGGGCUCAACCCCGGAGCUGCAUUUGAAACUGUCGAGCUAGAGUUCAGUUAGGGUAAACGGAAUUCCACGUGUAGCGGUGAAAUGCGUAGAUAUGUGGAAGAACACCGGUGGUGAAAACGGUUUACUGGGCUGAAACUGACGCUGAGGCGCGAAAGCAUGGGGAGCAAACAGGAUUAGAUACCCUAGUAGUC